rnacentral:pre_miRNA from 1 species
AGUGGCAAAGCUGGGUCAAAUGGUGGUUCCAUUCCAAGUUUUCUAAGAAAUCGACAUACUGCUUCCCAGAUUGGUUGCACCAGUUUACAGUCCCACCAGCAAU